UACGAAGGGGGCUAGCGUUGCUCGGAAUCACUGGGCGUAAAGCGCACGUAGGCGGGUCUUUAAGUCAGGGGUGAAAUCCUGGAGCUCAACUCCAGAACUGCCUUUGAUACUGAGGAUCUCGAGUCCGGGAGAGGUGAGUGGAACUCCGAGUGUAGAGGUGAAAUUCGUAGAUAUUCGGAAGAACACCAGUGGCGAAGGCGGCUCACUGGCCCGCUACUGACGCUGAGGUGCGAAAGCGUGGGGAGCAAACAGG
rnacentral:rRNA from 1 species